CAGAGCUGUGGGGUGUCACCAUGGCCUGGACCCCUCUCCUGUUCCCCCUCCUCACUUUCUGCACAGGUUCUGUGUCCUCCUAUCAGAUCACACAGCUGCCCUCGGUGUCAGUGUCUCAAGGACAGACGGCCAGGAUCACCUGCUCUGGUGAUAAACUUGAUGACAGAUACAUCUCCUGGUACCAGCAGAAAGCAGGCCAGGCCCCUGUGCUGGUGAUAUAUGAAGAUAGUGAGCGGCCUUCCGGGAUCCCUGAGCGGUUCUCUGGGUCCAGCUCAGGGAACACGGCCACCCUGACCAUCAGUGGGGCCCAGACUGGGGUGGGGGACGAGGCCGAUUAUUACUGUGGCAGAGCUGAUGGCAGUGGGAGCAGCUGGCGGUGA